UUGUAAUAAUUUGAAUUUUUGAAUCUGUGAUCCUAUAAAAAGUUACGAUGGAAUACUUUCAAAGAGAAUGGUUUAUAUUACUGCUUGGUGUCAAUUUUUAUUUUUACAAUACUUCAGACUAAAAUCCAAAAAAUUUUGAAAGAACCGUGUAGAGAUAUUUUGUAAAUGCGAUGUUGGUUACGGAAGUAUGGUUCAUACUGUCUUGCUUUUCAGUUGCCUGACUUAAGGCGCUCUUGACCUGCAUUCCAACACACAAAAUAAUUUACAAAGUUCGCUCUCAGUACGGUUUUCAAAAUAACGGUAUCAAUGGAUAAGGUGAUUGAAAAAAAGCUUUACCGAAAGUAGGAAAACUUUAUUUGACUUAUAAGAGACUAAAAAGAUAUCCUGUUGCUGACAUUAUUUGCUAGAGAAGGAUAUUCUUGACGCGACUGACGGAAAUUAUAAUUUCUGAAUUAUUUUUAAAGAUUUUUUUUUAAAAAAAGAAAAGUAUUUCUUCUAGUUUAAUCGCGCGAAUGGCUUCAUCUCUUGUUUUAUAAGUCAGUGUGAAAACGACAUUCAAAAGAACGAGUCACUAUAUAAUGGAGAAUCCUUAGCAUAAUGAUUUAGCAUAAAAUUAUUAUUAUACAUAACAAUAAGAAAAGUGUAUGUUGCAUGAUGCAAGCAUAAGCGUUGUAACGAAAAAGAGUAGAAAUUCAACAAGGAAGAAAUCGACAUUGCUUCCAAAACUAGUAAAUGGUUGCGAAAAGAAAAUAAUGACUUGUGCGAAGCUGUCAAUUGAUUUCUUCUUUUAUUAAUUUGACGAAAAACUAUGUGACGAAGCAGUUAAACUAUUUUGUAAAAGAAAAACUGGUCGUUUAUAUAGAAACGAAGAAAUUGUUUGCAAUGCAUUACGAGAGUAGAGA